rnacentral:misc_RNA from 1 species
AGGCAUGACAUUAAAUUCAAAGUGCUAAUGAUGAGUUCUGAAAAUAGUUUUAGGAAUCUUUGGGAUUCAUCCUAAUUUGGUGAUUGCCCGCUCUCAAAUCAAUUCUGGAGAAAUAUUUAGCCCUAUUUAAUUCAUCCGACAAGUCAUCAAUGAUAGGAAUAGGAAACUUAUCUUUCACAGUCACAUCAUUCAAUCUCUUGUAGUCUAUAUAGAAUCUCCAUGUCUCAUCAUUCUUUUUGAGAAAAACUACUUGAGAAGAUUAUGGACUGGUAUUGGGUUGAAUUAAUGAAGAAGCUAACAUAUCUGCCACUAACUUCUCAAUUUUAGCCUUUUGAUAGCGUGGGUACCUAUGUGGCCUAAUAUUAAUUGGCUGAGUAUGGGGUAGCAAGGGAAUUGCUUGAUUAGGCCUCCUAAAUGGUGGUCACUAAUGAGGUUCCUCAAAUAUCUGAUGAUAUUGUUGCAACAAUAACUGCAAUCUAUCAUUCUCCUUAGUUGGAAGAUUACUUCAUGAUGUAGAACAAAGGAAAAAAAAUCAAGAAGAAGAGA